AUGCAGCACAAUGGUGACACCAACGCCUCCCGGCCGUGCCCACCUGUUGCAACUGCCACACCCCACCGCCACCGGACGGCGUCCCCAUCAAGGAGUACACAAGUUGCCCCACGCCAAGCGAGAUCUUUCAAAUCUUCUCUAUCAUUGUCAUUGCAAAAGGACUUUCAUCAGUGGCUCGCUGACAAUCUCCCCCAAACCCUAGAAGAGAUUCAAUUUUUUUAA
rnacentral:rRNA from 1 species